AUUGAACGCUGGCGGCAUGCUUUACACAUGCAAGUCGAGCGGUAACAGGCCGCAAGGUGCUGACGAGUGGCGAACGGGGGAGUAAUGCAUCGGAACGUGCCCAGUCGUGGGGGAUAACUACUCGCAUGAGUAGCUAAUACCGCAUACGAUCUAUGGUUGAAAGCGGGGUACCGUAAGGCCUCGCGCGAUUUGAGCGGCCGAUGUCAGAUUAGGUAGUUGGUGGGGUAAAGGCUCACCAAGCCAACGAUCUGUAGCUGGUCUGAGAGGACGACCAGCCACACUGGGACUGAGACACGGCCCAGACUCCUACGGGAGGCAGCAGUGGGGAAUUUUGGACAAUGGGCGCAAGCCUGAUCCAGCAAUGCCGCGUGCAGGAAGAAGGCCUUCGGGUUGUAAACUGCUUUUGUAAGGAACGAAACGGCUCUGGUUAAUACCCGGGGCUAAUGACGGUACCGUAAGAAUAAGCACCGGCUAACUACGUG
rnacentral:rRNA from 1 species